AGAGAAAGGAUCCAAAGGGAUCGCAUUGAUCCAAAUUAAGCUGAAUUAUUCCCCAAUAGUUAUUCUUUUUCUCAAUCGAAAGAUGAAAAGAAGACUUGCUUCAUUUUCUGGAUCAUGCGAUCUCAUUGGAUUCAUUCUU
rfam:Brassica napus, WGS project CCCW01000000 data, contig: 7265